AGAGUUUCUGGCGAGGGGAGAAGAUGCUGAGUAGCUGAUCAGAAGAUGCCCUGCUGGUUUUGGAGACUGCCCUUUUAUAGCUAAAGAAUUCCAUCCUUCUAGGGUUUUGAAAUUCCUUUUUAAUUUGGCUUGUGAUUCCUCUUUUGAUGUUGAAUUUGAUUGCAACUGGAAUUCCUUAGGUGAGAAACUCUUUCGUGGCUCUUGGAAUUAUGUUGGUAGUGAUUGAGUUGGAUUUGAGCUUCUGAAAAUUCGGAAUUCAAUUUCCUGUUGUUUUCCCGUCUCUGCUGUCUAUUUCUGCUGUUCAGGUGAUUUGAGCAGUUUCUGCGAGUGAUUUGGGCAAAUCACUAACUCAUAUCACUUCUGCCUGUUGCCCCCAGGUUUCUACUUCAGUUUGAUCUGGGCAGUGAUUUGCUCAGAUCGUUGCUCCAAUCACUGUCUGUGAGUUAAUCACAGUUUUCUGCUCCAGUUUGAUUUGGGUAGUGAUUUGGACAAAUCACUGACCCAAUCACUUUUCUGUCAUUUUCUGCACUUUUUCUCCAUUGUUCCAAUUUCUUCUUUUUCUGUAAAAACAAGGUAAAAGCCAUGAAUUAAGCUAAAAAAUGUAUAAAUAAGAAAUGAUAAAUAUAAUAAAAAUGUGGUUAAAUUAUGUUUGAUCAGUCUACUUUUUCUCCAUAUUUUCUUUUGAUGUUUUUAAUUUAAUUUUAUUUUUAUUAUAUCUCUUACCCAAAAUCAAAAUUUAAACUUUAAGUACCUACAAGUAGUAUCGGAACAAUAACAAAAGUAAUUAGUUACGUAAAUAAUCUUACAGCAAUGAUUAGAGAUCCACAACUUCCCAGAACUCAUAAACCUAAUAUGAUUUUCUUGUUCGAUUGAUUUAGUUUAGUGUGGAUCAGCAUCCUAAUUUGCUCAAAUUGAUUCAAGUAAAAUUUGUUUUUAAGGAAAAUAUAAUUCAUAACUAAUAUUUAAUAUAAUGAUAGCAUUUAAUAUAAACUAUAUUAAAAAUUUUAUAAUCAAAAUGUGUAACUUUACAGAAUCAAAAUACUCCAUACCCUUACUUUUGUUUAAUAAUAAUUUUUAUAUUUUAAAUACUAAAAUCCUUUUUUCACUUUAUUUAUAUACUAUUUGAAAUAUUUUUAACAUUAAUGAGUCUUAAAUUUUAGAACAUUUAUAUAAAAUUUAAGUGUCACAUAAAAUAUAUCUCUUAAUAAAAAUAUGUUCCUUCAUAAAGUCAUAUUUUUUUUAUAAGGAUACAAUUUUUAUGGAAUUACGCUUAUCACUCAUAUGAGUGAUAUAUUUCAAUUUUAAUUUUUUUUUAAAUUUUUUUUCUUAAAUCUAUCUAUAUAUAUCAUUAUAAAAAAAAAGAGAAUUAUAUAUAUAUAUAUAUAAUAACUGAGAUGUAUAUGCUUUGUCCCGAGGUCAAUACAGAAUCUGGCUGAUCAAGAAAAGAACAAACAGAAUUUUUUUAAAAUAUGAGCGAAUUAUAUUAAUAUAAAUUACUGGAAAAACAUGGCAAGAAAAUAAUAAUAAUAAUAAUAAUAAUAAUAAAUCAGAACUCUUGAUGGAUUAAUAUGGAGGCUACCUCAACACUUUCAUUAACUCUCUCACCAUCACAAAGUAAUUAAGAAAAAGACAUGGAGACUCGAAGUGAACUCCAUGAACCCAUUUUAGGCUCCUUGC
rnacentral:lncRNA from 1 species